GGAACUUUGAAUUCUUUCUCAUUUGGUAGACUCUCAUCAACAUUCUUUCUAUUCUGGAUGCCACCAAAAAACAGCUGACGCAACUGUGUGUCACUUCCAACAUUCAUGUACUUUGCAUCAGCACAGUACUUAGCUGCCCAGUUACGAAAUCUAUUCACAGCAACCAGCUGCUCAGCUUUAGCGACUUUCUCAAUGUCAGCAAGAUAGGCACGGUCAACCAGCACACCCUCAGUUUCCA
rnacentral:misc_RNA from 1 species